AACCGCCACGUCCUCCCUUCUUCUUCCUCUUAUGAAAGCCCCAUUUCUAUCCCCGCUGCCCAUAUACUUCCGCGCACACGCCUUUCCAUGGCCGGCCUUGCUCAUCACCGACGCGCUCCCGCCGUCCCCCACCGCUGCAGUAGCUCUCCUCCUGGACGGCGGCACUCGAACCAGCCGUAUGGUUCGCCAGGUCGGCGCACAACGACCAGCAGCACUGGUGGCUGCUCCUCGACCCCGUGGUGAGCGGCCAUUGCGAAAACGAUGCGGGCCACCAUGCCUCAUCGAAGCUCACCAUGGGUGCUGAGCCAACACCGUCAUCUCCUCUCCACCAAAGUUCUUGAAAGGAGUUUUCGGCCUGCAGGGCCUUGCCCAUGCCGACGCCUAGGCCCGUUAGGCGUCAGCCCCGCCCCUCGCCCUUCACAGCCGGCGAAGACGAGAUGCUCUCGGUAAAGUCGGCGGGCGCCAUCUCUAGGGAAGUGCAGCUAUGGCGUGAGGCAUCGCUCUGCUCGCCUACCUUGGCUCCCGCAGCGGAGAGUACCAUCGCUAGCCUCUUCCUCGAGUUCGUGCUGGGCGGCUCGCUUGCCGAUGAAGUGGAGAGGAACGGGGCAGCCUCGAGGAGUUUGGGCGUUCUCAAGGCGAGGAGAGAUCUGUCGCUAGGCUGCGUCUCCUGGAUGCCCGGGGACGAGUUGAUCCACUGCCUUGUGCUGGUCGUUGAGGGAGAUGUUCCUGCUUGAGAUCUACCACGACACGCUGCACGGCGCCAAUGGGUUUGGGGGCGAGUAGAGGUACGCAGCAUGACCCGGUCUUCGCCAAUCCCGACUGCGCUGGAGAACCAAAUACUGCUGUUUGUGUUGGACCUCCUGCUCGGGAUGGAACUCGGCCAUAUUGAGCAGUCGCCAUGGCCAUCCUGGAUGUGCGGCUCUUUUACCCCUUCAUGCCCACCGACACACUAACAGUUUGCUGCAGGGCUUCAUGUACUGGAUGGCCUCCACGGUGCUGAUGUCUUCUUUGUCUCGAUGAUGCCCCUCGGACUGUUCUUCUUGCCCCUGUUUCUGAGGGGAGUACUGCACCUGAGCCUGCGAGGGAGAAGGUAGGGGCUUGGUAUGGCUGCUAGCAAGUAGUUAAUUUCGUAAAUAGGUUCAGGAUUUGUUUACAUGUGACAAUUUAAUUAGUUCGAUUAGAUAAAACCCCACGUGCUUGCUGCUGAAGUGUUCAAAUGUAUUGCACAUAAUGGUUUGAUGUAAAAUCAAAACCAAAUAUAACUGUGAUAGAGCAUGAGCUACAGAAAUAACAUGUCUUGUGGAGUAAGUGUUGCUGCAGUGGCAUAUAUGCAUAUAAAAGCAGGACAUAUGAUUAAGAGAGAAAAAAAAUGUUGGAUUAAAUUUAAACCUAAAAAUACAAAUAUUACCAUAGCUUGCAAUUUCUACUAAAGCAGAAGCAUAAAUACUUGGCAAAAGGAGGACAAACAGUUUUAGUCUGAACUGUAGAUUGUUCUGUUUUGUUGUGCAAAGCGUUAAAUGAAACAAUGAAUUACCGAAUAAUAUUUCUUUGCCACUGCAUACGAUGAAGUAGGAUACACUUCCUUCUGAAUUUGAGUUCUGAUGGUAUAUCUUACUGUCAUUUGCUUGAUGAAAUAUAUUGAGAUUUAUAUUCUGGUAAUAGAAUUCAUAUCUUCAAUUUGAUAUUUCAUAGUUUGCAUAGUCGUUCAGACAAGAAGCAGAAUAUGUGUCAAUCUUUUGUUGACGACUCUCCUUUCCUAGCUUUAGCUUUUACUUCAUAUCCAUUAACUAAUGUACAGUCAGUCAUGAACUAAGCGAUUUGACCUUACGUUAUCGUGUUCUAUUCACAUUACAGUGCAUAAUCAUUUGCCUUAUGUUAAAUAUCUGAAAAUGAGAUAUAAAAAAAUGCUAAAUGCUUUGUAUCUUAUACCCUGUUGCAUAAACAGAUGAGUACAUGUCCAACCGCAAGUUAAAAUGUCAUUUUGAGAGUUUGAUUUAAAUAAGCUUCGACAUAUUCUACGGCAGAGGCACUCCUGUCAUCCCCCGCCAGGACGGUGGCACCCGAUCCUUCGCAUCUGCGGCCGUCGUCGAGACGCUCAUGCCGUCCCCCAGGAUGGUGGCAGCGAGGUCCCACCUGCUGGUCCGCUUGUGGAGGGAUGGCCUGCUGCUGGUCCGACGUGUGGAGGGAUGCAGCCGUGCCGACAGCAUCCAUUGGCUCGGGCUUGCUUCCAGUUUCUCUGCCGUCCAUGUUUGAGUCGUCAAAGGACAAAGUGAAAGUGACUCUCUUGAAUUUUCUCGGCGAAGGUGUCACCCCCUGCGCUACGACAACCUUGACACACUACUGGCAGUCAGCGGCCUCCUAACCCACUACCACAUCAAAUCACUCCUUGGAAUCAUACUCUGAAUUGUUGGGGGAUUUUGGUUUCCUUGCUUAGAUCGGGCAGUGUGCAGCCGCUCCUGGUGACCAUCCAGUUCCAAAAGAGAGUGCUGCUGCAACUGCUGCAUAUGUCCAGCUGUUUAUGCUCCAACUAUUGCUACGUUCAUUGUAUUUUUUCUGUUCGAUCAGGAAAGGAGGGGGAGAGAGAGAGAGCGAGAGAGACAAAUGUCUUGCAUUUUUUAAAUAUUGUGCAAUUUAAAGUAAAUUUAGCAAUUCAUAUGUUAGCAACUGCAAAUAAUUUACUUCAUAGCAUGUAAUGGAGAUACAAAGGGUUUUCACAAGUAAUUUCAUUCAGAGCUAUAUGAUGUUUUCAUAUUAGUUGACAUUGUUAAAGAUAUUUUGAAAAUUGCAUCACGUUGAUAUCUAUUUUGAGAGGAUUUUUUAUGUUUCAAAGGAUCUGUUGCAGAGGCUAAGGUGAUUAGUGCAACUUUAGCUAAUAUAAAGGCCACACAAGUUUAAGGUGAGAUGAAGUAUUCAGCUGACAGAGAGCAGUCUUCACAUGCGGCACCAAAUGUGAAGCAGCGUCCAUAUCUCAUCAAACUUGAGAUUACUCUUGCAAUUAAUUCAAGACCAUCUCCUAUAGUUUCGCUACGCCAUUGAGCGGUUGUGGUAGCAGCAGAGACAAGAAACUCCUUAGGUUGUAUGGUUAGGCAGCUGCCAAACGACCAGUUUGAAACCAAAGGAAGAAGGUUUAUCUAUGGCAGACCUGAAAAUACAAGAGCGGCUAGAACUAUUGGAUCAGCAAAUGCCUACUUUGCAAAAAUAAAGUUACUUGUGGAAAGCAGAACAUGCUAGAAUAUUGUAUUGUAGAUUUCAAGAAUCUUUAUGGCACAUGGUUAUAUAGUUCACUUUCAUAUUUGUGUGAUAUAAGUAACACUUCGUCACAGGAAAUUCUCUUUUUUCUAUUCUA